rnacentral:rRNA from 1 species
CCCUUAGUUAUCCUAGGCCGCACGCGUGUUACAAUGACUUUUUCAGCAAGUUCUCCUGGCCCGAGAGGGUGCGGGUAAUCUGAAAUCAAAGUCGUGUUAGGGAUAGAUCUUUGCAAUUAUAGAUCUUGAACGAGGAUUUUGUAGUAAGUGCGCGUCAUCACCGCGUACUGACUGCGUCGCUGCUGUUUGUACACACCGCCCGUCGCUUCUACCGAUUGAAUGUUCCGGUGAGUAAUUUGGACCCGGGGGGGCUUGCUCCUCUGGGGAAGUUUCGCAAACCUAUGCAUUUAGAGGAAGAAGAAGUCGUAACA